rnacentral:rRNA from 1 species
UUGAAAGGGAAACGAUUGAAGUCAGUCAUACCAACGGGAAAUCAACCUUUUGAGCUUUGUCUCGUGGGUUCGAAGAGUUUAAACGCCUUCGGGUUCGCGAGAUUGGGAUCUUCUGGUGUACUUCCUCGUACGGUUAGUCAACAUCGGUUUUGAAUGUCAUAAAAUGACUGGAGGAAUGUAGCUUCGAUCUCGUAUCGAAGUGUUAUAGCCUUUGGUAGAUGUGAUGUUUGAGACCGAGGAUUGCAACGGAUACCCUUCAUGGGCUAUUCGUCUGAUCUCUGAUACGUUGCCUCGACGUUGAAAGCUUGCUUAUGAUGUUAGGGUAUUACGGUCAAAAGGUUAGAACGGAUUAAAUUCGUUAAGGAUGUUGACGUA